rnacentral:rRNA from 1 species
CGGGACGGGUGAGUAACGCGUGGAAAACCUGCCGUAUACUGGGGGAUAACACUUAGAAAUAGGUGCUAAUACCGCAUAAGCGCACAGCUUCGCAUGAAGUGGUGUGAAAAACUCUGGUGGUAUACGAUGGUUCCGCGUCUGAUUAGCUUGUUGGUGGGGUAAUGGCUCACCAAGGCGACGAUCAGUAGCCGGCCUGAGAGGGUGAACGGCCACAUUGGGACUAAGACACGGCCCAAACUCCUACGGGAGGCAGCAG